UCCAACGUUCCAGUUUUCUCGUCAAUUUCCGGUUUUGUGGGGCCGUUUGGGUUGUCGGCUACAGCCAGUCUUCUUCUUGGGUUACGUCUACUGCUCGACAUCUUUUUCCCCUUUUCUCGUUGGAAGUUGAAUUUAAGUUACCAUGUCGUCUUCGGACACUAUGUUGUCUUCAAGUUCAUCAAAGGGGCGAGCUACAAACAUGUCUUCGUAAAUAUUGAUUAUGUUGGGGCUCCCGGCUAUGACUGACACCAGCCUGAUUUGAGACCUGUGACGAGGCCAUGAAGAGAGGACCGAGGACCACACACACACACACACACAUCCUGCUGACCAUGUAAGAAGCUACUGCUGCCGGAGUUUGGACAGUGCUGCCGGAGUUUGGACAGCGCUGCCGGAGUUUGGACAGCGCUGCCGGAGUUUGGACUCUGCUGCCGGAGUUUGGACUCUGCUGCCGGAGUUUGGGCUGUCUAUCCUAUUGGUGAUCCAUGCUGCGCCACAUCGCAGGUUGUCAUCGGUGGAAGCCUACCUACUGUGACCAUCCUACAGUUAUGCCAGGUGGUGUUGUUCCAUUAUUACUCUGGCCUAUUACAGACUCAGUUACUAGCCAAAUUAACAAAUUUCAACUCCAUUUUGAUACGUUCCGUUCUACUCGUCAAACUGUUAAAUAGUGUGUGGGACAUCCUCGGUCCAGCCUCAAUUGUCACAAAUAUCCAAUGUCUUUUUUUAACACCUUUCAAUUAAUUCUUUAAUGUGUCAGCAGUUCCUUUGUGAUUUAAACUUAGUGUAAUAAUUUUGAUACUCGGCCUAGCCUAGUUAGAAUUUAUUUCAGUUUUCUUGACCGGCCUAGUGGGCACAAUUGGUUAAUCUUUGUCUCUAAAUUUACUUAUUCGGCUUUUCAUUCUAAAUUUGCCCCUAGUGCCUAAGUUAGGUUCUGAUUUAAAUCUUAAACAUUUUAUUUGAAAUCUUGUCGUUUUGACUUUGUAAAUUUUCAUGUCACGACUUACGCUCGAUCGUUAAUCGUUCAACUGUUUAAGGUGAACUUUUCACCUAUUUUGUAGGCCUAACCUUUUAAUAUCAUUCUGUAAUCUUUAUGUAGGUAAUUGAAUUUAUUAAUUUUUUACCAACAAAUAUUGAGUAGGCUAGUUGUAACUUGUAAUGAUUUGUAAUUGUACUUGUAUAUAUAUAUUUUGACUGAGAUUAAAUGGUAUUUUGCAA